CGGUCCGCCCCGAGCCGGGGGAGGCCGGGCGCCGGUCGUUCAGGCACGUUUGAGCGGGCGACCCCGGCGGCCGGGAGACCCAGGGGGAGGGGAGGGAAGUGGAAGGUUCGGUUCCGUCGCCGCGACGCGCAUGGGCGCCGCGUCCUUCCGCCCUGCGGUGGGGGCACGGGGCACGUUGUGGGAAGGCGGAGGUCGCGUUCCGUGCCGGGCCCGGCUUUGGGCCUGUGGAAAGGUGUUUUGAGAACGCGGGAGCCGCCGGGGUGGGUGGAAGGGCGACGGUAUUUCCGUCUGGGGGUCGGGGGCCUGACAGUGAAAGUGGAAUUUUUUGUAAAUUAGAGAAUGUGAAGAAAAUUAUGGUAUGCCCCUAUGGUGGAAUAUUACGGCUCUUAGAACAAAGCCUGACAAGCAAAAACACAGAAAUCGGUGUAUACAUGCACCGUAACUGAAGGCAGACCCUGUUCUAAAGGAGCACAGUUUUGGAAGAAGAGGAAGUGUCAGGGCCCCAGUGUUGUUCAUGGGCAUCAGAUCCUGCAAGAAACCUUCAGGAACCUCUUGCCGGGCACUCACUCUGAAUGGAGGAAUCUCUACGUGUCCGGAGCAGACACCCAAUGGUGUCUUCUGUGAAACAACAUGAGCUCUAUUUACUGAGUUCCAUCCAUGUACCACAGACAUCACAUAUAUUAUUUCUAAUUCCUAUGACAACCCUGCAAGAUCAAUUUCAAACUGAUCCAUCAUGACUAUGUCGACGCACUCAGAGACCUCAAGGAAUACGGAAGCCAUAGUCUGCGACCAAUGGAACCGUGUCACCUGGUUAACAAGCCUGAGCCGACGCUGGCAAAGAAGCCAGAAUUCCCAAGCUUUCCCAGGCGAGUGUGGAGAAACACCAGGAC